UUCUGACCGUAAACUAUGCCAUCUAGCGAGUUUCGGGUGGUUUUUUCUUAAAUUGCCCUUGAAACGAGCUUCCCGGAAACGAAAGUCUUUCGGUUCCGGGGGAAGUAUGGUUGCAAAGUUGAAACUUAAAGGAGUUGACGGAAGGUCACCACCAGAAGUGGAGCCUGCGGCUUAAUUUGACUCAACACGGGAAAACUCACCCGGUCUAGACACUGCGAGGAUUGACAGACUGAUAGCUUUUUCAUGAUUUGGUGGAUGGUGGUGCAUGGCCGUUCUUAGUUCGUGGAUUGAUUUGUCUGGUUAAUUCCGAUAACGAACGAGAUUGGAACUUAAUUAAAUAGAUUUGUCUUUCCAAUAUUAUGGAGGCAAUAAUCUUCUUAAUGGGAUUUGCGGCGAUCCAGUCGUAAGAAACCCAGCAAUAACAGGUCUGUGAUGCCCUAAGAUGUCUGGGGCUGCACGCGCGCUACAAUGAAAAUUGCAGCGCGUGUGACCAUUUCCGGAAGGAAUUGGUAAACGAGUCAAAUUAUUCCGUAUUUGGGAUCGAAUAUUGUAAUUAUUAUUCGUGAACGAGGAACUUCAAGUAAGUGUAAGUCAUCAGCUUACGCUG
rnacentral:rRNA from 1 species